AAAGAAUUAGUUAACCUUUAUAACAUAAAUUUGUCAAAUUUAAAUAAUUUUAUUCUCUAAAUAUUCUUUA
rnacentral:tRNA from 1 species